CCUACGGGUGGCAGCAGUGAGGAAUAUUGGUCAAUGGACGAGAGUCUGAACCAGCCAAGUAGCGUGAAGGAUGACUGCCCUAUGGGUUGUAACCUUCUUUUAUAUGGGAAUAAAACAGGGUAUGCAUACCCUCUUGUAUGUACCAUACGAAGAAGGAUCGGCUAACUCCGUGCCAGCAGCCGCGGUAAUACGGAGGAUCCGAGCGUUAUCCGGAUUUAUUGGGUUUAAAGGGAGCGUAGGUGGAUUGGUAAGUCAGUUGUGAAAGUUUGCGGCUCAACCGUAAAAUUGCAGUUGAAACUGGUAGUCUUGAGUACAGGAGAGGUGGGCGGAAUUCGUGGUGUAGCGGUGAAAUGCGUAGAUAUCACGAAGAACUCCGAUUGCGAAGGCAGCUCACUGGACUGCAACUGACACUGAUGCUCGAAAGUGUGGGGAUCAAACAGGAUUAGAUACCCGUGUAGUC
rnacentral:rRNA from 1 species